rnacentral:rRNA from 1 species
GUAGUUGACUCCUGGCUCAGGACAACGCUGGCGGCGCGCCUAACACAUGCAAGUCGAACGGACGAGGAAGUGCUUGCACUUCCGAGUUAGUGCGGACGGGUGAGUAACACGUGAGCAACCUGCCGUUUUAGAGGGGGAUAACGUCCUGAAAAGGACGCUAAUACCGCAUAAAGUCGAGAUGUGGCAUCGCAUCAUGACCAAAGGAGUAAUCCGCUGAAAGAUGGGCUCGCGCCUGAUUAGCUAGUUGGAGUGGUAACGGCACACCAAGGCGACGAUCAGUAGCCGGACUGAGAGGUUGAACGGCCACAUUGGGACUGAGACACGGCCCAGACUCCUACGGGAGGCAGCAGUGGGGGAAUAUUGGGCAAUGGGGGAAACCCUGACCCAGCGACGCCGCGUGAGGGAUGAAGGUUUUCGGAUUGUAAACCUCUGUCUUCGGGGACGAAAAAAUGACGGUACCCGAGGAGGAAGCCACGGCUAACUACGUG